GAUGAACGCUGGCGGCGUGCCUAAUACAUGCAAGUCGAGCGAACGGACGAGAAGCUUGCUUCUCUGAUGUUAGCGGCGGACGGGUGAGUAACACGUGGAUAACCUACCUAUAAGACUGGGAUAACUUCGGGAAACCGGAGCUAAUACCGGAUAAUAUUUUGAACCGCAUGGUUCAAAAGUGAAAGACGGUCUUGCUGUCACUUAUAGAUGGAUCCGCGCUGCAUUAGCUAGUUGGUAAGGUAACGGCUUACCAAGGCAACGAUGCAUAGCCGACCUGAGAGGGUGAUCGGCCACACUGGAACGGAGACACGGUCCAGACUCCUACGGGAGGCAGCAGUAGGGAAUCUUCCGCAAUGGGCGAAAGCCUGACGGAGCAACGCCGCGUGAGUGAUGAAGGUCUUCGGAUCGUAAAACUCUGUUAUUAGGGAAGAACAUAUGUGUAAGUAACUGUGCACAUCUUGACGGUACCUAAUCUGAAAGCCACGGCUAACUACGUG
rnacentral:rRNA from 1 species